UCGUAACAAGGUUUCCGUAGGUGAACCUGCGGAAGGAUCAUUAUCGACACAGCGGACUUCGGUCCUUGCUGCACCCUUGUCUUUUGCGUACCGUAUCGUUUCCUCGGCGGGCUUGCCUGCCGGUUGGACACUAUUAAACCUUUUUGUAGUUGCAAUCAGCGUCAGAAAAAUCAUAAUUAUUACAACUUUCAACAACGGAUCUCUUGGUUCUGGCAUCGAUGAAGAACGCAGCGAAAUGCGAAAAGUAGUGUGAAUUGCAGAAUUCAGUGAAUCAUCGAAUCUUUGAACGCACAUUGCGCCCCUUGGUAUUCCAUGGGGCAUGCCUGUUCGAGCGUCAUUUUGUACAAUCAAGCACUGCUUGGUGUUGGGCGUUUGUCUCGCAAGGGACUCGCCUCAAAGUCAUUGGCGGCCAACGCAGUCGUGGCAGAGCGCAGCACAAUCUUGCGUCUCUCCCUUCAGUGUCGGCGUCCAUCAAGCCUACAAUUUUCACGCUUGACCUCGGAUCAGGUAGGGAUACCCGCUGAACUUAAGCAUAUCAAUAA
rnacentral:misc_RNA from 1 species